GCCCAACCUCCCACCCUUGUCUCUAUACACCUGUUGCUUUGGCGGGCCCACCGGGGCCACCUGGUCGCCGGGGGACAUCUGUCCCCGGGCCCGCGCCCGCCGAAGCGCUCUGUGAACCCUGAUGAAGAUGGGCUGUCUGAGUACUAUGAAAAUUGUCAAAACUUUCAACAAUGGAUCUCUUGGUUCCGGCAUCGAUGAAGAACGCAGCGAAAUGCGAUAAGUAAUGUGAAUUGCAGAAUUCCGUGAAUCAUCGAAUCUUUGAACGCACAUUGCGCCCCCUGGCAUUCCGGGGGGCAUGCCUGUCCGAGCGUCAUUUCUGCCCUCAAGCACGGCUUGUGUGUUGGGUGCGGUCCCCCCGGGGACCUGCCCGAAAGGCAGCGGCGACGUCCGUCUGGUCCUCGAGCGUAUGGGGCUUUGUCACUCGCUCGGGAAGGACUGGCGGGGGUUGGUCACCACCAAAAUUUUACCACGGUUGACCUCGGAUCAGGUAGGAGUUACCCGCUGAACUUAAGCAUAUCAAUAAGCGGA
rnacentral:rRNA from 1 species